UGUUUGGAUGUUUAAAAAAAAAAAACCCCAAAUCAAACGGUACAGAUUCUUGUACGAUUUUCUAACCGGUUGGUAUCGAUAUAUCCGAAAAUUGUAUGGUCUUCUCCCAUUUUAAAUUUUAUAGCCGUUUGAUUAUCUCCCAUUUUAAAUUUUGUAGCCGUUAGGUAAUCAUAUUGCGAGUAAGAUUUACAACUGAAGAUUUGAAAUUUGAAAUUUGAACUCUCACGUUUUUUUUCUCGCACGACCUCAAGAGUCAAGAUAAUAUGUCUCCCAGCAAAGGAAACUUUCGUUCAACGGACCUCGUAAAUGGAACGGAGAAGAAGGAGAGGGCAGGGGGAGAAAAGGGAGUGGCAGAGGGAAAAAGCAGGGAGGGUCGUGGGAGAGAGAAAGAGAGAGAGAGGAAAUCAACGAUUACUGGUUUGGAGACGACGACGGUGGCGUAACCACGGCAGCGGCGGAUUUACAGGGAGAAGUGCACAAUGUAUUCAAGGGCAUAGAUGCCUUGACAGUGAGAUGUUUGAAUGGACACAAAGAUGUUGCUCACCUGAACUUUGUUGAACACCAAUUAAGAAACAGCUGCAGUGUUGGAUGUGCUGCAUCAUUUUCAUUAUGCAACAGGGCGGCAAGCAAAUGUCUCAAAUUUGACUUGGUUGAAUUGAGUUGCAUAUUUAUCAUAGUUUUGAACGCCAGAUGGCCACUGAACUGUCAAAAUGGCAAGUUUUGGAGAAAUCGGUCCAACCCUUUUAUUUUUAUCCAGCAAGCCAAAAGCUUGAAAAAGUUGGUGGUUUAAAUAGUUGGUUUGGACCUCUUUCUGAAAUCUAUCAAGUUUUUUCCACAUAUUGUUGGGCUAUAGGAUCAAAAUUGAUUUUGUUUUGGAUCAGAAUGUGAUGUUAUCUUGUUCAGAUCGGAAUGUGAUGUUAUCUUGUUAAUGUUCCAACUGGUUCAAUUGGCUGGUCUAUUUCUAAAGCUGCAACAUUAAUUGAGUCAGGUUAUUUUUCUAGGUUAGGAAUUAAAACUGCCUCAAUGUGGUCUACCUUAUGAGAGUAUUUUGAGAAAUUUUAUUUUAGGGGUGGGGGAAUGGUUUUAGCAACAAUUUCCAGAGUUGUUAUUCAACUUCAUUUCAAAAUGUAUAGUCUCUUCAAAAUUUAAUUACAGGGCACCGAAUGUGUAUUUUGAAGAUGAUGAUACUGCUGUCAAACUUGAAAUUGAAUUAGCAAGAAGUAGAAGGACUACAUACAGUUGUUGUGGGAUCAAAGGUGCUGCUCUUGGGUGUUAUGAGCUUUUGCAAAGUUAGUUCCACAAUGUCGAUGGGAUGACGUAAGUUCAGUUUGUUUGAUUAACUACAGACUUAUAUUUAUUUUAAAAAAUGGUAUUGUAUUGAUACUUGUAGGUCAGUAAGGAUUGAAAGGUGCAUAUUUCCUUCAAGAGGAGAACUUUGUGAUUCUAUGCCCUCUUCUUCAUACUUCUAAAUUGCCUUGUGAAACUUUUGGACCUCAAGAGAAAAGUAGAAAGAGGUUUAUUCCAAAAGGGUUGUGCUUGGAUAUUCUCAUUGUAUGGUCAGUAAGGAUUGAAAGGUGCAUAUUUCCUUCAAGAGGAGAACUUUGUGAUUCUAUGCCCUCUUCUUCAUACUUCUAAAUUGCCUUGUGAAACUUUUGGACCUCAAGAGAAAAGUAGAAAGAGGACUAUUCCAAAAGGGUUGUGCUUGGAUAUUCUCAUUGUAUUUUUUUUCUAUAUUUGUUUUUCCAGGAAUAAUCUUGAAGGAUGCCUGAAAUUAAGUAUUAGCUUACAGGAUGUUAUCUGAUUGAAAUGUACAGAGAAUCCCAUGCCUGUAAAACCAAAGUACCAGUUAAACAUGGCUUAAUGGUUAGCCAGCAAUGAAAGCAUUCUGGAUCUUCUAACAAAUGUAUUCUUUGUUGCUCAACCCUUGUUGUUGCAGAGAAGAUAAUUCAAAAUAAAUUGAGUAGACCUUGGUUGGGACACUGACAAAUCCUUAAGAAAAAUAUUAACAAUUAGAACCACAGGAAACUGUCUCUGAGUUUGAAAAAUUGGCUGGUAUUUCGGUGGCUAAGACCUGGUGUUCCAGCAUCACCCAUGUCAUUGCAUCUGCAGAUGAGAAUGGAGCUUGCAGGAUAACUUUAAAAAUUUUGAUUGGUGUCUUGUAGGGAAAAUGGAUAAUGGAGAUAGUCAGUAAGCAGCAUUGUUUCUGUACACAGAUUUGUCAUAUUUUACCAUUCUAUUUAUAUGUUUCGAAAGAGUUAUUCUGAUAUAGUUCAUAUAACUGAUUUUUUGUAUGCAGAAUUAAGGCUUGCACGGACACCUUGGGACCUGUUAACAAGGUUCAAUAUAAAAUCAGUGUGGAUAUCCGUGGAAUCAGGGAUGGCCUCAGUCAGGAAGGUAUGUAUCUUCUUGUAGAGAAAUUACUGUUACAGGCCUGUUGGGCUAGAAUUUAGUUAUUUUGAUUGCAAUUACUGCUGCAAAAAACAACUUUCAAGCUUUAAAAAACCAAAAAUUGGCUGGUGGAUGACAGUAUUUUUGUCUGUAAGGCCUUUGCUGAGAUCUUUAAGAUUUUGACAUGGGAGUCCUGAAUUUCAUUAAUUGAAUCUUCAGAUUAUUAGAAGUUACGGAACAACCUUAGAAAUAUUUUUUUCUACUGUUCCUACUUUCUACAUAGGACGUUUCAGAUAUCAAAGAAACAUUUUUGAAAAAUAGAGGACAAGAAAAAAAUAUAAAAAUAUUAACCAUGAAAAGGGUUGGAGAAAGAAAACAUUGCUAUGGUUAAUUAGAGCUGAUUAUUUCUGCCUUUUUGUGCCCUGUUCUUUUAAAUGGUAAGGUAUUACACGUAAGGUAUUAUAUUACUUGGGCUUAGGUGAAUUUACAUUAUGGCAGAUAAGGCUAGUAAUGCAAUUUCACUGUACCUUAUGCAGUCAGUACAUACUGGAGAGUUUGUAUAUGUUCUGAAUAUUAACCUUCUAACUUCUUAUUAUGUGGCUAAAGAAGAUGAAUGUCAAGUGGAAAUUAUUGUUGAAUACUUGCCAAAGGAGACUCAGGUAGGUCUGCUUGUCGGCAUACUUCUAUUCUAAAUUAUCAGUUUACUAGUUUCUUGGUUUCUGGCAGAUCAUGGUUUAUUAUGUAUAAACAAUGAUAUUCUUCCACUAAGUUCUAAAAUCCACUAAGUUCUAAAAGUUUUAACUAUCUUCUGUCCUGCUGGGAAGGAUCAUUUUCUUUGACUGUCUCUAAAUUUAUGUACAAGCCAUGAAAGUUUGCACAAAACUAACUGAAAAUAGAGCGUCUUGGAUGGAUGGAAACUAAUGCACUCCAUCAGUCACCAUUGCAGCUGCUGAGACUCUUGAAUUAUGUGUGACAGAAUUCCUUAAAGAGCAGGUUUUAACAAAGUUGUCUAUAAAGAUUUCCAUUAUAUGCUUGUUUUGAACUCCGUGUCUUGCAAUAGAUUUAUAUCAUCUUUCAUUUGCAACAGAUCAGUUCUUACUUCACAUUAAAGCUUCUUAGGAUUUUUUGGUACAUCAUGCUCGAUGUCAGGGGAGGACUUAACAAAUCUGAGAAUGAUGAUACAUCUCACGGAUCCCUCAUAAGGCGGAUGUAGAGUUGGAGUUCAUUAAGCAUGUCUGCACUGUUCUUGCUCUGGUUCUAAAAUACUAAAGGGGGAUGCAGCAUUGGGGUUCAUUAAGCAUGUCUAUGUUGUUCUUGCAUUAGAGUUCAUUAAGCAUGCCUGUUCUUUGCCCAAUCUAUGGUUGUAGAGAAAUAAAUGGGUUUGCAGACUGUUUUAAAAGUGAUAAGUUAAGAAAGAACAUGAAAGGGAUGGAAGUUAAGCAGUUAGGACAGAGAAAAAGAGAAGUGCGAGGGAGAUAUGUUGGUCUAUUACUAAUCACCUAUUUGAGUUCAGUAUUUUUAGUAUCUCUCUCUCUCUCUCUGACACACACACACAUAGUCACACAUCCCUGAAGUCACAAAAACCCAAAACAAUUCUACAGUCUCGGCAAAUCAUAGCAUAUGCCUUAGUUAUGUUUCUUUCCCUACCACACACCCCUUUUAUAUUUCUAUGAGCCUGCAGGAAGAGCUACUCAAACGGUGGUUUGUUUAUGUGCAAGAGGUGAAACUUGGUAUUUAUGUCACAUACGGUGGUGAUUUCUUUUACUGGCUCUUCUUGGAAGCUAGAACAGUUUAUAAUGGAAUUAUAAUGAGCGAUGCAUAUGUUGCAGUUAACUUUUUAUUUGCCUCAAAUUGUAUAGCAGAGAGGUGUUCUUCUUACUGGUGUUUUCUUUGAGGUUCUCUGAUCUUCUAGAGCUGUGUGGAGUUGCAAAUCUUUCUUUUCAUAUUGUUUAUAAAUCUUUUUGAUUGAUAAAAAUGUUUUCUAAUAUGUGGUAAGAAAAUUCAUUUUUCUUUUCAUUUUUAAUUUGUGUAGGUUUUGAAUAUGUCACAUUUUGGCUUGUUUAUUUCACAUAGUCCAGGGGGGUUCUCUUCUGAUCGGAAGAGGAUGCCCUUGCCUAGAAAUAUAGCAUGACUAAUUUUAUUUAUUAUUUCUAGUCAGCUACCUUUAUUAAGUCGUAAUCCACAUUUAUGUUUCCUAACAUAACAUAGCAUGACCAAUUUUCUAAUAUCUCGUGAUAUAUGUGACUUAGUGAUAUUUGUCUUGGUCAAUUUUUUGAUGAUGUUGUGGAUCAUUGGGGUUGCUGGCACUGGUAACAAAUCAGCAAUGUGCUAUAGUAUUAAUCAAAGUGUUAGAUAGAAAUAUUCAUACAGUUAGCUUUGUAAUUCCGUAUUAUGAAUUUGUGAUUAUUACUUGAAUUGUUUGACCCUUAAAUCUUAAUGAACUAUUCAAGAAUGUCACAUUUGUUUUUAGUUUGUAGGGGAGGACAUAGAAAAUUUGAAGUAUACACCUGAACCAGAUUAUGAAGGCUAUUCAAAGUGAAAAAUGUGAAAAUGAGGUAAUGGGAUUCAUUAAUUGGUUGAUUGAUAUCUGUUCAAAUAACAUUAGGUUUCCCAUUGUGUAUAUAUAUAUUAUUAUCAUAUCUUACCCUAUUAUAUUUCUAUGAGCUUGCCUGAACAACUCCUUAGACAGUGGUUUGUUCAUGUGCAAAGGUGAAACCUUGUAUAUAUGUCACAUACAACAUUGAUUUCUUUGACUAGCGAUUCUUAGUUACAAGCUAUUACUUCAUUCAACAUUAGUAAUAUUUCACUACCUACCACCCUACCACAUGCACCCAACAAAAAAUAAUAUGAAAAGUAAACAUCCUGUGCAUGGGUUUAUUUUGGGUUGCUUCAUGAAACUCAAAUUAAAUGAUAUAAGCUCAUCUCAUCAUUGUAAUAAUCUGGACUCCUGAUUGCUUACAUCCUGCUGAUUUGCUUCUAUUUGGUUAAAUCAUAUGGUAGGCUGAUACCUCAUUAUGUCUUUUCGUUUCCUGCUUCUUUCUAGGAGAUAUUUGUGAGUAUACCUACUAGUAAAGAUUAAUUAAUCAGUUGAUGUUGCAACUGUCUACUUGCAAAAUUAUGGGAACAGUUUUCAAUUUGAUUAAUUAGUUUUCACUGGCCCCUCUCAGACCUUGCAGUAGCAGGAGACUCGUGCACUUGGUUGCCCUUUUUUUUUAUUAUUAUUAUUAUCAAUUUGUUGCAACAUCAAGAUUAAUUAACCUGUUGAUGUUGCAACUGUCUACAACUAUUAGUUGCCUUUUGCUUCCUCAAAAAAGUAGUUACUUUAUUUUUGGUCUUGAUUCCACAUCUGCCCUUUUGUGCUUGAGUUCCGCCACUUGGAGAUCCCAUCCCUUUGAUAUCAUAUGUAGGAUUCUUAUUUCCACUCUUUUGUAUGCGAAUGGCAUCAUCCUCCAUCUCUUUAACAUAUGUCUCUAUGGUGUCCAAGGCAUUGAGGGCCAAGAGUUGUGCUUUUUGUAAAGUGCAUGCCUGUGUUACUUUCCUUUAUCUGGCUGUAUGCUGAACCUGUAAAGGUGGUGGGAUUAGAUUCCAAAAGCAAAUCAAUUAGCAUCUUUUGGGGGACGGUUGGGAUCCCUGAUGUAUAUGGGCUGUUGAACCUGAUUAAUGUACUGACCACAAUAUCCAGAUUACCUGCUCUUACCUGGUCCUAGUUAAAGGCUCUUCUUUCCCCAAAAACCGCUGCUUCAUUGAUGAUAGGACUAGCCUUAAGAAUUUGAUAAUAUGUUCUUUGGCAAGAUUUGAGUUUAAAUUCUGUUAUAAAUCAAUGACACUGUUAUUAAUCUAAAAGUUUGACUCGUUAUAAAUUGACUAUUAUUUAUCAUAUGUAACUCACAUGGUCCUUAAACCACACUUUUCUUAAAAGGUAAAAAAAUAAACAAGAAAUUUAGUCCCCCCCCCCGCCCCCUUUCUCCUUUUUUUUUUUGGACAUAUUCACAGACCACUUACUUAUUGGUUACUAAUGCUUUUGAGUGUCAAAAGAAUGGGGUUUUCAUACAACUUUGUUUCUCUCAUCUUGUAUCUGGUAUUUCUGUUAAAACAUGCCAUUUUCUAUCAAUCAUGUUGAUGAACUUACCACUUCUUAACUGCAUGUAAGCUUCGCCUAGCCUUCAACACUAAAGUCUUUUCCUAGUCUUGAAUUAGGCUGCCUACAUGUUGUUAUAAGGAGAGUGGUGGAGCUCUGCUUUAGUGGUAGUCUUUUUGGAUUUAUCAUCUGUACUUUGUUAUGCAGGUGAAGGCUCUUAUUCAUAUUCAGUUUCUUUGUCAGUAGCCAGUUGUGUAGGCGUAUACUCAAUUAUUUUAUAAUUUUUGUUGCAUCAGGAUGGGUCUACUUUCAAUUCUAAGUAAAAGUGUCCAUAUUUCUAAGUUGCCAAGAAGAUAUAUUUCAAUACAGGGGUUAUAAAAACAAAACCAGAAAACUGAUGUAAAGGUAGGAAAAUGAGAAGCAAGAAAUCAGUCUCACUUACAAUGGACUGUUAGUCAGGUUUUUUAUUUUUUUUUCUCUUCCCAUUUGUUAGUUAAAUUCAUUUUCCAGCAAACCCAAAGCGUACUUGUUAAUAUUGCAGGAAAAUAUAGAAAUAGUUGUUGAGGCAAAUCUGAGGUGACAAUAUGAUGGACAGAUUGCUGAUAUUGAAAUUAUGGAGAAAAAGGAUCUUGAUCUUUUAAGUUGUUCCUUCUUCAACCUCAUGAGAAAGAUUUCUCCUUUGGAGAUCUACUUAAUAAUUUGCAUCAUUGAAGUAGAGGUUUACUAAUCGUCCACUUUUCAUCAUUGAAUUUUGGUUCAGUAAUCAUCAUUGUUUCAUUCUUAUUCCCUGUGAGGUAUAUUUUUUUAUUUCUGUUUUAUAUUUGUAUGCACAGUCAUUUGGGAAAUGAUUAUCGCUAUAGAAUAUUGAUUGCUUGUGGAA